CCUGGUGGUGAUAGUGUUGAGGAAACACCCGUUUCCAUUCCGAACACGGCAGUUAAGCUCAUCACGCCGACGAUACUCUGCUGGAGACGGCACGGUAAAAUAGGUACUGCCAGGA
rnacentral:rRNA from 2 species